ACCAGAUGCAGUGGUGUGCACCUGUAAUCCCAGCUCCUCAGAAGGUUGAUGUGGGAGGAUCCCUUGAGCCCAGGAGAUCAAGGCCAGCCCAGACAACAUAGGGAAACUCCAUCUCAA
rnacentral:sRNA from 1 species